rnacentral:rRNA from 1 species
CCUACGGGGGGCAGCAGUGGGGAAUAUUGGACAAUGGGGGCAACCCUGAUCCAGCCAUGCCGCGUGUGUGAAGAAGGCCCUCGGGUUGUAAAGCACUUUCAGUGAGGAAGAACGCCUGGUGGUUAAUACCCAUCAGGAAAGACAUCACUCACAGAAGAAGCACCGGCUAACUCCGUGCCAGCAGCCGCGGUAAUACGGAGGGUGCGAGCGUUAAUCGGAAUUACUGGGCGUAAAGCGCGCGUAGGUGGCUUGAUAAGCCGGUUGUGAAAGCCCCGGGCUCAACCUGGGAACGGCAUCCGGAACUGUCAAGCUAGAGUGAAGGAGAGGAAGGUAGAAUUCCCGGUGUAGCGGUGAAAUGCGUAGAGAUCGGGAGGAAUACCAGUGGCGAAGGCGGCCUUCUGGACUGACACUGACACUGAGGUGCGAAAGCGUGGGUAGCAAACAGGAUUAGAUACCCUAGUAGUC